rnacentral:rRNA from 1 species
GGGCCCGCACAAGCGGUGGAGUAUGUGGUUUAAUUCGAUGCAACGCGAAGAACCUUACCAGGGUUUAAAUGCAGAACGACAGGGGUGGAAACACCCCUUCUUCGGACGGACUGCAAGGUGCUGCAUGGUUGUCGUCAGCUCGUGCUGUGAAGUGUCGGGUUAAGUCCCAUAACGAGCGCAACCCCCAUUUCUAGUUGCCAGCGGUUCGGCCGGGGACUCUAGAGAAACUGCCAGCGUAAGCUGUGAGGAAGGUGGGGAUGACGUCAAAUCAUCACGGCCCUUACGUCCUGGGCUACACACGUGCUACAAUGGUAGGGACAGAGAGUUGCCAACCCGCGAGGGUGAGCUAAUCUUCAAACCCUAUCUCAGUUCGGAUCGGAGUCUGCAACUCGACUCCGUGAAGUUGGAAUCGCUAGUAAUCGC